AUUGAACGCUGGCGGCAGGCCUAACACAUGCAAGUCGAACGGUAACAGGAAACAGCUUGCUGUUUCGCUGACGAGUGGCGGACGGGUGAGUAAUGUCUGGGAAACUGCCUGAUGGAGGGGGAUAACUACUGGAAACGGUAGCUAAUACCGCAUAACGUCGCAAGACCAAAGAGGGGGACCUUCGGGCCUCUUGCCAUCGGAUGUGCCCAGAUGGGAUUAGCUAGUAGGUGGGGUAACGGCUCACCUAGGCGACGAUCCCUAGCUGGUCUGAGAGGAUGACCAGCCACACUGUAACUGAGACACGGUCCAGACUCCUACGGGAGGCAGCAGUGGGGAAUAUUGCGCAAUGGGCGCAAGCCUGAUGCAGCCAUGCCGCGUGUAUGAAGAAGGACUUCGGGUUGUAAAGUACUUUCAGCGGGGAGGAAGGGAGUAAAGUUAAUACCUGUACUCAUUGACGUUACCCGCAGAAGAAGCACCGGCUAACUCCGUG
rnacentral:rRNA from 1 species